GUCGCGAAGUCUACUCGAGAUCGACUUUCCCACUUUUUAAAUUCAUCUCCUUAAAUUCUAAAAAAAAUCCAUACUAAUAAAUGUGUAAUUGAGAAAAUGGAAUCAAACAAUCAAGAAACGUGGGAAAGUCGAUUUCAAGUGGACUUCGCGAC